CUACUUUAUUUCCCUUUGGAUGGGCGCUCAUGUCGGCGUGGGGCACAGCGGCCGCCGAGGGAGCCGAGCCGGCGGAUGUGGAGGCUGCCGAGCGGCGGUGCUCGCGUGAAGGAUGAGUUCAUGGUAGUAGCACUCUCUCGGCUGUGGCUGCACGUUCAACUGGCCAGUCAAGGAGCUCCAGCAAGCAGGUAAAGUGGCGGGUUGGCGCAAGUCUUUGAGUUGCGAUGCGGAGCGCACUGCAGAGUGGCACGACGUACAAAGAGCUUUGCUGCUUGCAGGACCAGGAGUGCAGCAGCACGGGGGUGCCGGGAGAUGGACGCAGGCCAAGAAGAGGACCAUGACCGUACCAAGGAGGUGAUGAACACAACAAACAGCUGGUGUUCAGGGUGAGUUUCUUUUGUUCCCUG